rnacentral:rRNA from 1 species
CCUACGGGUGGCAGCAGUGAGGAAUAUUGGUCAAUGGGCGCGAGCCUGAACCAGCCAAGUAGCGUGAAGGAUGACUGCCCUACGGGUUGUAAACUUCUUUUAUAAGGGAAUAAAGUGAGGCACGUGUGCCUGUUUGAAUGUACUUUAUGAAUAAGGAUCGGCUAACUCCGUGCCAGCAGCCGCGGUAAUACGGAGGAUGCGAGCGUUAUCCGGAUUUAUUGGGUUUAAAGGGAGCGUAGAUGGGUUUUUAAGUCAGUUGUGAAAGUUUGCGGCUCAACCGUAAAACUGCAAUUGAUACUGGCAGCCUUGAGUACAGUUGAGGUAGGCGGAAUUCGUGGUGUAGCGGUGAAAUGCUUAGAUAUCACGAAGAACUCCGAUUGCGAAGGCAGCUUACUAAACUGCCACUGACAUUGAUGCUCGAAAGUGUGGGUAUCAAACAGGAUUAGAUACCCGAGUAGUC